ensembl:snRNA U5 U5 spliceosomal RNA
UCACUCUUGUUUCUCUUCAGAUCGUAUAAAUCUUUCGCCUUUUACUAAAGAUUUCCGUGGAGAGGAACACUAAGAGUUCGACACAAUUUUUUGAUGCCCUGCCGAAAAGUGGGGCU